UGCCAGCCGCCGCGGUAAUACGGAGGGUCCAAGCGCUAUCCGGAAUCAUUGGGUUUAAAGGGUGCGCAGGCGGUUUAUUAAGUCAGUGGUGAAAUCUCGGGGCUCAACCCCGAAACUGCCAUUGAUACUGUAGGUCUUGAGUUUGGUUGAAGUGGGCGGAAUGUAGCAUGUAGCGGUGAAAUGCAUAGAUAUGCUACAGAACACCGAUCGCGAAGGCAGCUCACUAAACCAAUACUGACGCUCAGGCACGAAAGCGUGGGUAGCGAACAGGAUUAGAUA
rnacentral:rRNA from 1 species